AACGGACAUUCAAGAGUUUUCCAGCAGCCACUAUGCCAUCAACAAUUUCCAAUUUGACCACAUUCAACUAAAUCUAAUGCAACGACAGGCAACAAGCAGCGAGCCAAAAUCUUCGACAAAUCCUCCCCAACUUGUGCCAGUAAAAACUACAAGCUCUUCAGCAUUCAUCAAUGACCUAUGUCUUGAUCCAUUAGCUGUAAUUGCAUCUACACUUGGUGAUUUAAACCCUUUGCUACUUUCUUGGCGUUGUAUCACGCCCUUGAUCCUGACAUAUAAUAACUCAAAUGCAGCAAGUUUAACCUUUCUGGGAUGCUGACUCACAAAACCUUCAAAAUCUGGGGUUCAAUUAAAGUUAAUCACCUUCUCUUUUCGUCUUCAACAUUCACAGGCGUCUCCCGAGGACUCUAUCAGUCCCAGACCAGCGAUGUAAUUUUGGAAACUAAUCAGCAUCUCAAGAAUACAGAUUCAAUAGUUCAGCAAUUCUGAUAAUUCCAGGCACUAUAAAUAUUUCCCUCCACACGUAUAGAUGGAUGUUGCAAAAACCAUUGUUAAUUCUUCCCAACCAAACAAUCAAAUUUCUUACAUUGCAAGACUAAAGAUAUCCAAUAUGUCUGCAUCUAUGCGCUUGGUAAUUAAUAUAUGCUUCUUGUGCUCUUGUACUUUGAAAGAAAAAAGGACCUCAUGAUUGGUACUCUAAGAAAGGUUGUAGGAAAUAAAAAUGAUGGAGAACCAUGAACAAUGGUUGGUUCAUUAAAGCAAAGUGGGGGCAAGGAAAGCUGAAAGAAAAUGGAAGGAGCUUGUUGUUGGAACGGAUGAGCUAGCUAGCUAGUUUAGGCUGCUUAGCAGAAGAAAGCAAAAGAAAGCCAUUUGUUUAUAGGACCACAAACCACUGGCUUGAGAAUGUUGUGUCUGUAACUGUACGUAGCUGAAAUCCAUAAUGAGUAUUUGGUAUACUGUGUU